UACAGAGGUCCCGAGCGUUGUUCGGAUUCAUUGGGCGUAAAGGGUGCGUAGGCGGUUUUUUAAGUUUGAUGUGAAAUCCCGGGGCUCAACCCUGGAAUUGCAUUGAAUACUGAAGAACUAGAGAUCUGGAGAGGAAACUGGAAUUUACGGUGUAGCAGUGAAAUGCGUAGAGAUCGUAAGGAAGACCAGUGGCGAAGGCGAGUUUCUGGACAGAUACUGACGCUGAGGCACGAAGGCCAGGGGGAGCAAACGGG
rnacentral:rRNA from 1 species